AGUGAACGCUGGCGGCGUGCCUAAUACAUGCAAGUCGAACGGAAUUUAAAAGAGCUUGCUCUUUUAAAUUUAGUGGCGUACGGGUGAGUAAUAUAUAGCUAAUCUGCCCCUUGCUGGAGGACAACAGUUAGAAAUGACUGCUAAUACUCCAUACUCCUUUUUACCAUAAGAUAAAUCGGGAAAGAAUUUCGGCAAGGGAUGAGACUAUAUCGUAUCAGCUAGUCGGUGGGGUAACGGCCUACCGAGGCUAUGACGCGUAACUGGUCUGAGAGGAUGAUCAGUCACAUUGGAACUGAGACACGGUCCAAACUCCUACGGGAGGCAGCAGUAGGGAAUAUUGCGCAAUGGGGGAAACCCUGACGCAGCAACGCCGCGUGGAGGAUGACACUUUUCGGAGCGUAAA
rnacentral:rRNA from 1 species